rnacentral:lncRNA from 1 species
UAUCGAGAUAGGAACCAAUGGCGAGAGGCAGUUCUCGAUGAUCAAUAAUGAUCUAACCACUCGUGAAGAGUGCAUGCUUGUUUACAUGAUUGCUUUAUUUUUGCAUUGCAUAUUUCUUAAUAUAAUUGAUCUUUGUUGCUUAAUGUUUCAUGCAUAAUGGGGGGAUAAAUAAUUGUUAGGAAACCCGACUCACUGAGCAAAAUAGUUUCUCAUUAGACUCUUUGUUUUGCAGGUAACCCGUAGUAGUAGGUUCCA